CGUGAAAAACUUACAAUACAUGUGAAUUUGUCGAGACGGUAAGACGUGUCGGAAAGAUCUAAACUCGUAUUAAAUUUCCGUAAGUGAAAUACAGAUUGAACGUAUGAAAACUGUGUUUAAAAGACCUUACGAAAUUCAACAAGAAUAAGUUGUCAUACUGUAAUAAAAAAAGUUACUAAAAAAAUUUGAUUUCAUAACUUUAGUUUCUUGGAUUUAAAUUUGUGAAGAACAUUGGGAUUAUUAAACGGUACAAUGAAAAUAUUCCUUCAUGUUUUCUUAACAAUUAUGCUGAUAAUGUCGGGCCUAAUAUCGCUUGGAAUGUCAAAAAGAGUCCGUCGAGGAGUGUCUGUCAUCGAAGUAGAACCACCUCAUAUAAGACACUUCCCGAAAGAAGCGACUUGUCCACCAGGAGAACUUAUAGAUCCACACGGAAUAUGUCGGAAAUUACGACGUGAUAAAUAAUAAAAUUGAAAAUAAGCAGGCCUGAAUAUUUGACACGUUCCACCACAAAAGAAAUAUCUGAUAAUACAGAAAAUGAAAGAAAGUAAUUCAAGAAACACAAAAUAGCAUAUGGCAACUUACAAAUAUAAAUAAACAUUAAUUAUCACUAAUGAAGUCAAUGAAGUUCUGAUGUUUUAUAUAUCUUCUGGAAUAAUCUAUAAUCUAUAAUAAUUUACUGAUGUUUGUAAUAACGAUAACUAGUAUAAGUGUUAUGUAUGUAAUAUAAUAUAGUAUGUUAAAACUGCAUGAAAAAUUACUCGAUUAAAGAGUCUUAACAAAAUUAAUUUAUUAUAAUUGUGACACUAAGAGUUAAUAAACAACUUACUAUAA